AUGGAUUAAACGGUGUGAGAGGACCACCAGGUGACAACGGAGGAUCUCUGGCAGGAGCUGAAGGUGACUCUGGGGAACAAGGCCCACCUGGCCAACCUGGCCCGGACGGAGAAGAAGAAUCCAAACAAUUUCCUCUAGAAAUUCUUCCAGCCAAAGGUUACAAGG